AUUUCCACCGGUUCAGACACAGAAGAGCGACUGUCACCCCAAAAUACUCACAACAUCUGCUUUAUUUCUCUGCAGACACGCAUGCGGCAACAUAUCACAAAAGAUGGCAGACUUUGCGGCAGACCCACGCAGCAGAAGUGAUUGUUCUACAAAGGAAUACUGGAUUGACGGGCUCCGCUGUGACAAAGGGUUAAAGUUGAUGAGAAAAUGUUCUAGUGGCGUGGCAUCUCAGUGUGAGAAAUGUUCAGAAGGGAUAUACCAAGACGGGAGGGAUAUACCCAAGAUGGACUAAGUAUUAUACAGUUUAAUUUUUCUUUCAUGACUUAUGUAAUGAAAUAAAAAUGUCAGUUAUGUAUAUUUUGCUGUGUUGAUUUUGUUAAGAUGUUCACUCUUUGUUCUUUGACUUGUUCUGUGACUUAUGCAGUGGUGAUUUCACCGUAUACACCCCAAAAUAAUCAGUCUGGAUACUUCAAAAAGUCCUUUUUAUAGCAUUUCAUGGGGGUGUGUGGCCUUUAAAAGGACUGUUUUUGUAUGACUAAAACAUAAUAAGCAGGGAAGCCUUAGUAAUUAUGUGAAUGUAACCAUAUAUUAUUGCCAAAGAACACAGAUGUGCCUUCAGCAUAGACAAAUACCUCUGACAAAAAAACAUUUAUUGUAAUGUGACUUGGCUUGUAAAAAAAAAUCUAUUUUUAUUAUAUUCAUACAAGAGCAAAAUACAUUUUAGCCCCUGUCCAAGCUAUGGCUUUUACAUAAUAGUAAAUUAUGAAAAGGAGCGACAGCAUCAAGCUGGGAAACAAAAAGGUGCUACUAUCCUGAAUGCACGUACUCGUUUCUGGUAAUGUCAUUUGUCUAAAUAGUCUUUGUCAGAUCUUAAUGCAACAUUCAAUAGAUACUUUCACAAAGAAUACAAAGACUAUUUUUAGGAUGUCUGGACCUAGUAAUUAACCCAGAUGAUUCAUUCUGUCAUUAUAAUUCUAGUUUAUAAAUUCUAUAGUAUUUUGGCAUGGUCAUGGUUACUAAACUUACUUUUAAAACAAAAGUCACUGAGUCAAGCCCAAUGGGUGUGGACUGAUGAUGCGAUAACUCGUGCACACUUUCUUUCCAUUUGUAAUCUUUUCUAGUUCAUCUAGUUUGCUUGACGUCAUCAUUUACUCGCCCACGUCAUUCCAAAACUGUAUGACUUUCUCUCUUUUUUGCAGAUUUUAAAAGUGGUUCUGAGAGAAAAAAAAGUCCCUUAACAAACU